ACUCAAAUGAAUUGACGGGGACCCGCACAACCAGUGGAGCGUGUUGUUCAAUUCGAUACGAAGCGAAAAACCUCACCAGGGCUUGACAUGUAACUGCAAAUCCCGUGAAAGCGGGACUCUUUCGAAGGUGUUACACAGGUGCUGCAUGGCUGUCCUCAGUUCGUGCCGUGAGGUGUUCCCUUAAGUGGGGAAACGAACGCAACCCCCAUCUAAUGUUAUAUAUUCAUUAGAGACGGUCCCAAUUUUUGGGAAGGAAGGCGGGGUAGAUGUCAAGUCAGCAUGGUCCUUAUGCCCUGGGCUACAAACACCCUACAAUGGCGAAAAACAACGGGCUGCAAGCACGCAAGUGUAAGCUAAUCCCUUAAAUUUCGCCUCAGUUCAGAUUGGGGUCUGCAACCUGACCCCAUGAAGUUGGAAUUGGUAGUAAUCGCGGAUCAGCAGGCCGCGGUGAAUACGUUCUCGGGUCUUGUACACACCGCCCGU
rnacentral:rRNA from 1 species